rnacentral:lncRNA from 1 species
CUAAAAACAUGCUAUAAAAUACAUCGUGGCCUUCUUCUUCAAAUCAACAUGGAGCUUCCUCAAGAACCUGCCCUAAAAUCAGCACGCGGCGAUUGGGUUACUGUGCUGGGAUAGUUUGCUGCAGGAACUCAGCCAGGUGCUGCUGCCGGGUAACUGAUCCAAAGCUCCGCGGCGCUGUGAUGGUUUUGCCAGCUGAUCCUCCGGGCACACAGGUCCCGGACAGCAGCACACCGAGCUGGGGUCUGAGUGCAGCCUGGGGCGGCAAUCUGCAGCCCUGCACUGCACUCCUGGGCCGUCACCAAGAGCCGUUUUUGUCCUCCUGAUCAUAGCACGCAUUCUGCACAGCUCUGGGUACAGCUGUGGGUUUGGGAUGUUGGAAGGAACCGUACAUGUUUGGUGCAAUGCUGUGCUUGCCUGGGACCCUUGGGGCUGUGCCACGUCUGCACAGCAGAUCUGCACCCUGCUCUGCUCCCAGGCCUCCUGGGCUGUGCUGGGAGAAAGACAGCAGCAGAGCAUUCAGCCACAGGGUGAGCCUCAGCACAGAGCUCAUUCAGCCUGAACGCUGUGAAAAUCAGUUAAAAGCUUUUUUUGAUCUGAGUCUGGGAGGUCUUCAAGGAACCACAUGCUAUCUGUACAUUUAGAUUGGAAGCUCACAACUAAUUUCUUGCAAGGAUUAAGAAAGAACAUCCCUUACAGUUGUGCCUAUUGGGCUGUCAGCAGCUCAGAAGCCUGACACUUCUGCAAGAGCGCUCCGAGGCAGCAGCACACAAGCACCCAGCACACCAGCAAUGAUGAGCAAAGCACAGUGUGCAGCCAUGGGAGCUCUGCAGCUCCCUUAAGGCUUUGCCCAACCCCAGGUAGCCCAGGUUUCUGGGAAGCUGCUCCGUGUCGCUCACCAGGAGGGCAGGAUGGCUCUCUGCACUGUACGGGGAUGUGCUGCCCCUCUGCAGCCUCCUGCUCCUGCUGAUGCUGCAGCAGGACGUGUAAUACCC